UAGGGAAUCUUCGGCAAUGGACGAAAGUCUGACCGAGCAACGCCGCGUGAGUGAAGAAGGUUUUCGGAUUGUAAAACUCUGUUGUUAGAGAAGAACAAGGACGUUAGUAACUGAACGUCCCCUGACGGUAUCUAACCAGUAAGCCACGGCUAACUACGUGCCAGCAGCCGCGGUAAUACGUAGAUGGCAAGCGUUGUCCGGAUUUAUUGGGCGUAAAGCGAGCGCAGGCGGUUUCUUAAGUCUGAUGUGAAAGCCCCCGGCUAAACCGGGGAGGGUCAUUGGAAACUGGGAGACUUGAGUGCAGAAGAGGAGAGUGGAAUUCCAUGUGUAGCGGUGAAAUGCGUAGAUAUAUGGAGGAACACCAGUGGCGAAGGAGGCUCUCUGAUCUGUAACUGACGCUGAGGCUCGAAAGCGUGGGGAGCAAACAGG
rnacentral:rRNA from 1 species